CAGCGCCACGAGUGGUAACCGCGAUUAUUGGGCCUAAAGCGUCCGUAGCCGGAUUGAUAAAUCCUUUGUGAAAUUGUACGGCUUAACCGUACAACGUGCAAGGGACACUGUUGAUCUCGAGACCGGGAGGAGUCAGAAGUAUUCCAGAGGGAGCGGUAAAAUGUUAUAAUCUCUGGAGGACUACCUGUGGCGAAGGCGUCUGACCAGAACGGAUCUGACGGUGAGGGACGAAAGCCAGGGGAGCGAACCGGAUUAGAUACCCGAGUAGUCC
rnacentral:rRNA from 1 species